rnacentral:tRNA from 1 species
AUCAGUAAAGCUUAAGUCAAGCAUUUAACUGUUAAUUAAAAGACUGGUUUCUCCUAUUGACCUACUGAUC